ACCUGCACGAAUGGCGUAAUGAUGGCCAGGCUGUCUCCACCCGAGACUCAGUGAAAUUGAACUCGCUGUGAAGAUGCAGUGUACCCGCGGCAAGACGGAAAGACCCCGUGAACCUUUACUAUAGCUUGACACUGAACAUUGAGCCUUGAUGUGUAGGAUAGGUGGGAGGCUUUGAAGUGUGGACGCCAGUCUGCAUGGAGCCGACCUUGAAAUACCACCCUUUAAUGUUUGAUGUUCUAACGUGGGCCCCUUACCGGGGUUGCGGACAGUGUCUGGUGGGUAGUUUGACUGGGGCGGUCUCCUCCUAAAGAGUAACGGAGGAGCACGAAGGUUGGCUAAUCCUGGUCGGACAUCAGGAGGUUAGUGCAAUGGCAUAAGCCAGCUUGACUGCGAGCGUGACGGCGCGAGCAGGUGCGAAAGCAGGUCAUAGUGAUCCGGUGGUUCUGAAUGGAAGGGCCAUCGCUCAACGGAUAAAAGGUACUCCGGGGAUAACAGGCUGAUACCGCCCAAGAGUUCAUAUCGACGGCGGUGUUUGGCACCUCGAUGUCGGCUCAUCACAUCCUGGGGCUGAAGUAGGUCCCAAGGGUAUGGCUGUUCGCCAUUUAAAGUGGUACGCGAGCUGGGUUUAGAACGUCGUGAGACAGUUCGGUCCCUAUCUGCCGUGGGCGCUGGAGAACUGAGGGGGGCUGCUCCUAGUACGAGAGGACCGGAGUGGACGCAUCACUGGUGUUCGGGUUGUCAUGCCAAUGGCACUGCCCGGUAGCUAAAUGCGGAAGAGAUAAGUGCUGAAAGCAUCUAAGCACGAAACUUGCCCCGAGAUGAGUUCUCCCUGACUCCUUGAGAGUCCUGAAGGAACGUUGAAGACGACGACGUUGAUAGGCCGGGUGUGUAAGCGCAGCGAUGCGUUGAGCUAACCGGUACUAAUGAACCGUGAGGCUUAACCUU
rnacentral:rRNA from 1 species